rnacentral:lncRNA from 1 species
UUCGUCUAGUGAUUUUUUGGAUAGCCAUCAGGUUAUCAUAGAUUCCUUUAAACUCUUUUAUAUGUUCAUCAAUGGAUUUGGAACCUAGUUUUACAGUUUGAAGUUGUUGCUUCAACUGAAACUCCUUGUCUUUGCUUGCUUGUAAGUAGGUAUCCUCAAGAAAAGACCAAAUAUUUUUUGCAGAUGAGCACCCUAUGAUGAGAAAUAUUGACUCUUCAGUCAUUGUUCUAGAAAGCCAACUCCUAACGAGCACGUCACGUUCUUCCC